rnacentral:rRNA from 1 species
GAAGGUGGUUAUUGCGGAGAGGUUACACCUGUUCCCAUCCCGAACACAGAAGUUAAGCUCUCCUGCGCCAAUGGUACUGCACUGGCAACGGUGUGGAAGAGUAGGUCACCGCCUUCA